rnacentral:ncRNA from 2 species
GAACAGAGCUAGGGGAGCAAGAGCUGAGAGCGCGGGAAGGCCCGCAUACCCUCAUUACCUGAUCUGGAUAAUUCCAGCGUAGGGAAGCAUAACAGAUGCAAA